rnacentral:rRNA from 1 species
UAGGGAAUCUUCCACAAUGGACGCAAGUCUGAUGGAGCAACGCCGCGUGAGUGAAGAAGGUCUUCGGAUCGUAAAGCUCUGUUGUUGGUGAAGAAGGAUAGAGGCAGUAACUGGUCUUUAUUUGACGGUAAUCAACCAGAAAGUCACGGCUAACUACGUGCCAGCAGCCGCGGUAAUACGUAGGUGGCAAGCGUUGUCCGGAUUUAUUGGGCGUAAAGCGAGCGCAGGCGGAAUGAUAAGUCUGAUGUGAAAGCCCACGGCUCAACCGUGGAACUGCAUCG